AAUUGGAGGGCAAGUCUGGUGCCAGCAGCCGCGGUAAUUCCAGCUCCAAUAGCGUAUAUUAAAGUUGUUGCAGUUAAAAAGCUCGUAGUUGAAUUUCGGGGUCAGUAGAUUGGUCAUGCCACUGGUAUGUACUGGUCUUACUGGCUCCUCCUUCCUGAUGAACCGUAAUGCCAUUAAUUUGGUGUUGCGGGGAGACUGGACUGUUACUUUGAAAAAAUUAGAGUGUUUAAAGCAGGCUAACGCUUGAAUACAUUAGCAUGGAAUAAUGAAAUAGGACGUUCGAUCUUAUUUUGUUGGUUUCUAGGAUUGACGUAAUGAUUAAUAGGGAUAGUUGGGGGCAUUAGUAUUCAAUUGUCAGAGGUGAAAUUCUUGGAUUUAUUGAAGACUAACUACUGCGAAAGCAUUUGCCAAGGAUGUUUUCAUUAAUCAAGAACGAAAGUUAGGGGAUCGAAGACGAUCAGAUACCGUCGUAGUCUUAACCAUAAACUAUGCCGACUAGGGAUCGGAUGAUGUUAAUUUUUUAAUGACUCAUUCGGCGCCUUACGGGAAACCAAAGUGU
rnacentral:rRNA from 1 species